rnacentral:rRNA from 1 species
GACGAACGCUGGCGGCGUGCUUAACACAUGCAAGUCGAACGGAAAGGCCCUGCUUGCAGGGUACUCGAGUGGCGAACGGGUGAGUAACACGUGGGUGAUCUGCCCUGCACUUCGGGAUAAGCCUGGGAAACUGGGUCUAAUACCGGAUAGGAGCCAUUUUUAGUGUGAUGGUUGGAAAGUUUUUUCGGUGUAGGAUGAGCUCGCGGCCUAUCAGCUUGUUGGUGGGGUAAUGGCCUACCAAGGCGGCGACGGGUAGCCGGCCUGAGAGGGUGGACGGCCACAUUGGGACUGAGAUACGGCCCCGACUCCUACGGGAGGCAGCAGUGGGGAAUAUUGCACAAUGGGCGCAAGCCUGAUGCAGCGACGCCGCGUGGGGGAUGACGGCCUUCGGGUUGUAAACUCCUUUCGCUAGGGACGAAGCUUUUUGUGACGGUACCUAGAUAAGAAGCACCGGCUAACUACGUG